AUAAAUUCCACAGCCUUUUGGCUUAGAUCAAGUGUAGUAUCUGUUCUUUUCAGUUUAAUAUCUGAAACGGUUCUAUUUGAACCUUCUUAUAUUAAUCUUAUUUUUGAAACUAGGGAAUUGGCCUCUGAGCUUGCUCAUGUCGAUACCCACUGUGUCACUGGUAUUGUACUGCCUCCAGUUGACGCGACCACUU
rnacentral:snRNA from 1 species